UACGGGGGGGGCAAGCGUUGUUCGGAAUUACUGGGCGUAAAGGGCGCGUAGGCGGGUGUGCAAGUCUGUGGUGAAAGCCUCCAGCUUAACUGGAGAAGUGCCGUGGAUACUGCACAUCUUGAGGAGGGUAGGGGCAUCUGGAACGGUCGGUGGAGCGGUGAAAUGCGUUGAUAUCCUAAGGAACACCGGUGGCGAAAGCGGCUCACUGGGUCUUCUCUGACGCUGAGGCACGAAAGCCAGGGUAGCGAACGGG
rnacentral:rRNA from 1 species